AACGAACGCUGGCGGCAUGCCUAACACAUGCAAGUCGAGCGCCUGUAGCAAUGCAGGAGCGGCGCACGGGUGAGUAACGCGUGGGAACCUGCCCUUAGGUUCGGAACAACCGCGGGAAACUGCGGCUGAUACCGGAUGAUGUCUUCGGACCAAAGAUUUAUCGCCUUUGGAGGGGCCCGCGUCGGAUUAGGUAGUUGGUGAGGUAACGGCUCACCAAGCCUGCGGUCCGUAGCUGGUCGGAGAGGAUGACCAGCCACACUGGGACUGAGACACGGCCCAGACUCCUACGGUAGGCAGCAGUGGGGAGUAUUGGACAAUGGGGGCAACCCUGAUCCAGCAAUGCCGCGUGGGUGAUGAAGGCAUUCGGGUUGUAAAGCCCUUUCGGCGGGGACGAUGAUGACGGUACCCGCAGAAGAAGCCCCGGCUAACUUCGUGCCAGCCGCCGCCGUAAAAC
rnacentral:rRNA from 1 species